rnacentral:rRNA from 1 species
ACAUCCAGAGAAUUUAGCAGAGAUGCUUUAGUGCCUUCGGGAACUCUGAGACAGGUGCUGCAUGGCUGUCGUCAGCUCGUGUUGUGAAAUGUUGGGUUAAGUCCCGNAACGAGCGCAACCCUUUAUCCUUUGUUGCCAGCACGUAAUGGUGGGAACUCAAAGGAGACUGCCGGUGAUAAACCGGAGGAAGUGGGGAUGACGUCAAGUCAUCAUGGCCCUUACGAGUAGGGCUACACACGUGCUACAAUGGCGCAUACAAAGAGAAGCGACCUCGCGAGAGCAAGCGGACCUCAUAAAGUGCGUCGUAGUCCGGAUUGGAGUCUGCAACUCGACUCCAUGAAGUCGGAAUCGCUAGUAAUCGUAAAUCAGAAUGUUACGGUGAAUACGUUCCCGGGCCUUGUACACACCGCCCGUCACACCAUGGGAGUGGGUUGCAAAAGAAGUAGAUAGCUUAACCUUCGGGAGGGCGUUUACCACUUUGUGAUUCAUGACUGGGGUGAAGUCGUAACAAGGUAAGCGUAGUGCU